rnacentral:sRNA from 1 species
AAUAAGAAGCUUGGUUAGUAUUUUAGAGUCAAAUUUUACAGGAUAUCAUGUGUAUCAUUGAGUAUAAGAACUAGAACCGCAACCGAUUCCCAAAAGCUAAAGUAAUGUUU